rnacentral:rRNA from 1 species
UACGGAGGGGGCAAACGUUAAUCGGAAUCACUGGGCGUAAAGCGCACGUAGGCGGCUCGGUAAGUGGGAUGUCAAAGCCAUGAGCUCAACCUGGUAAUUGCAUUUCAAACUGUGAGACUUGAGUGCGAUAGAGGCAGAUAGAAUUUCCUGUGUAGCGGUGAAAUGCGUAGAGAUAGGAAGGAAUACCUGUGGCGAAGGCGCCCUGCUGGAUCAUAACUGACGCUGAGGUGCGAAAGCGUGGGGAGCAAACAGG